rnacentral:rRNA from 1 species
AUUGAACGCUGGCGGCAGGCCUAACACAUGCAAGUCGAACGAGUGGCGGACGGGUGAGUAAUGUCUGGGAAACUGCCUGCUGGAGGGGGAUAACUACUGGAAACGGUAGCUAAUACCGCAUACCAUCAGAUGUGCCCAGAUGGGAUUAGCUAGUUGGUGGGGUAACGGCUCACCAAGGCGACGCUCCCUAGCGGGUCUUAGAGGAUGACCAGCAACAUGGGAACUGAGACACGGUCAAGACUCCGACGGGAGGCAGCGGUGGGGAAUAUUGCACAAUGGGCGCAAGCCUGAUGCAGACAGGCCGCGUGGAUGAAGAAGGCCUUCGGGUUGUAAAGUACUUUCAGCGGGGAGGCGUUACCCGCAGAAGAAGCACCGGCUAACUCCGUGCCAGCAGCCGCGGUAAUAC